GCUCAAAUAGCCUAGUGGUUAUAGUGUCCGCCUUGGAUGCAAGAGGUCGCGGGUUCGAACCCCGACCGAGUCA